CCUACGGGAGACAGCAGUGGGGAAUAUUGCACAAUGGGGGAAACCCUGAUGCAGCAACGCCGCGUGAGUGAAGAAGUAUUUCGGUAUGUAAAGCUCUAUCAGCAGGGAAGAAGAUGACGGUACCUGAGUAAGAAGCCCCGGCUAACUACGUGCCAGCAGCCGGCGGCAUACGUAGGGGGCCAGCGUUAGCCGGAUUGAAUGGGUGUAAAGGGGGCGUAGACGGCGGCGCAAGUCUGAAGUGAAAGCCCGGGGCUCAACCCCGGGACUGCCUUGGAAACUGUGUAGCUAGAGUGCAGGAGAGGUAAGCGGAAUUCCUAGUGUAGCGGUGAAAUGCGUAGAUAUUAGGAAGAACACCAGUGGCGAAGGCGGCUUGCUGGACAGUAACUGACGUUGAGGCUCGAAAGCGUGGGGAGCAAACAGGAUUAGAUACCCGGGUAGUC
rnacentral:rRNA from 1 species